UUUGAUCCUGGCUCAGGAUGAACGCUAGCUACAGGCUUAACACAUGCAAGUCGAGGGGAAACGAUAGAGAAAGCUUGCUUUUUCUAGGCGUCGACCGGCGCACGGGUGAGUAACGCGUAUCCAACCUGCCCAUCACUUGGGGAUAACCUUGCGAAAGUAAGACUAAUACCCAAUGACGUCCAUAGAAGACAUCUGAAAUGGAUUAAAGAUUUAUCGGUGAUGGAUGGGGAUGCGUCUGAUUAGCUUGUUGGCGGGGUAACGGCCCACCAAGGCGACGAUCAGUAGGGGUUCUGAGAGGAAGGUCCCCCACAUUGGAACUGAGACACGGUCCAAACUCCUACGGGAGGCAGCAGUGAGGAAUAUUGGUCAAUGGGCGAGAGCCUGAACCAGCCAAGUAGCGUGCAGGAUGACGGCCCUAUGGGUUGUAAACUGCUUUUAUAAGGGAAUAAAGUGGGAGUCGUGACUCCUUUUGCAUGUACCUUAUGAAUAAGGACCGGCUAAUUCCGUGCCAGCAGCCGCGGUAAUACGGAAGGUCCGGGCGUUAUCCGGAUUUAUUGGGUUUAAAGGGAGCGUAGGCCGGAGAUUAAGCGUGUUGUGAAAUGUAGACGCUCAACGUCUGCACUGCAGCGCGAACUGGUUUCCUUGAGUACGCACAAAGUGGGCGGAAUUCGUGGUGUAGCGGUGAAAUGCUUAGAUAUCACGAAGAACUCCGAUUGCGAAGGCAGCUCACUGGAGCGCAACUGACGCUGAAGCUCGAAAGUGCGGGUAUCGAACAGGAUUAGAUACCCUGGUAGUCCGCACGGUAAACGAUGGAUGCCCGCUGUUGGUCUGAAUAGGUCAGCGGCCA
rnacentral:rRNA from 1 species